ACCACUCCAACAAACGUCUACGACCGCACCUACAUAUUUUUGCAUGUUCACAAUUCUAAUUUUAAACAGCCAAUCGACGUUUAAUUAAUAAAUAAUAAUAAACCAAGAACCUGAUUGGCUGUUCAAAAUUAGAAUUGUAAACAUGCAAAACUAUGUAGGUGCGGUCGUAGACGUUUGUGGCAGUGGC